GUUUGAUCUGCUCUACUCUGCUGCUUGAAAGGGUCAUCCUCUAUUUUGUCAAAACUUUAGGUCUUAAAGGCAUGACGUGGUUUUUCAUAAGCAAAAGGGGUGUUGAUUUGGGAGAUAUUUUUAAAUUGGGGAUUGAAGUUUACCGAUUUGUCUUUUACCAUUUGUCUAUUUCCUUAGAAGAAAAAUAAGCGGUAUUUGUAAUCCACGAGUUAGCUACAACAUACCUGAGAAAUUACAUUCAAAUUAUCUUUAAAAGUAUGUGCUCACAUUAUCUUUAAAAAGUUGUUAAAUGGCUCAGAAAUAUCAAGCACAUGUAACAUUUUUUAGAAAAUACAACCCACGUUUUCUUGCAGGAUGAAUUUGCGCUUAAUAGCCUCUGUUUAAUUCACUCAGAAACUACACGAUUCUUGUUGCUAUAUUUUGUUAAAAAGGAAGGAGAGGCUGUUUCUACAGGUGUCAUAGAAAAAUCAAUACUGAGCCACGGAUUAUUGGAUCCCAUAGAACCAUGGAGACUUGGCAGUGAAAUUCUUCCAAAGUUUCUCCUAGAUUUCGAAAAGUUGAAAAGCUAUACAUAACACAUUGGUUGUUUUACCGAAUUGCUUAGCAUUCCAUCCAUGCAGGCAGACGGUGUUCCUAGGUUUGGAAAUAUAAAUCCCAGGGGAAGUGAGCUGAAGAACAUUUCAUGCAUCACUCAUCCUAUUAUGAGCCCUGUGCUGUUCCAUCUCUCUACAAGACUGGCUGAAACAACAAGAAAAAUUGUUUGUAGUUUGUAUUCUGACUUUGGAUCACCUAAUUAAUAGCCUGACUCUGACUACCCAGAAAGACAAGGUUGUUUAGGAAGAACUAUUAGAAGGCUGCUGCUGCUUUAUUAAUAAAAUCGCAGGGGAAAUGCGACAUUCUGGAUGUCCCAUCCGAGAAGCGGUUGACUGAUUGUACCCGCCAGCUGGCUAAUAUCAUAAUUAACAAAGUUGCUACUACAUCUGCAAAGUUUAAUCGAAAAAUUUGCCAGUGAUAUGACGGCAUUGCCACAAAGAUCACAAGGGACACAGAGUUGACUUUUGCUCAAGGUGGAAUGGCAAAGCCGUAUAGGCAAGAUGAGAAAUCGUGAACUUGUUCAACCAAAGGUUAUGCUUCAUAUCACCCACCGGGGAGGAUCAUUUCUCAUGAAAACUUUCAAAUUUGAUUUUGGAAAUUAUUGAAAAAUUUAAGCCGUGCUAUCUCCCAAUGUAGGAGACAAUAUACUCCGGAGGUUCCUAUAAUUCAAAGAAAAUGGACUGGGAUAACGUUUGGGUUCUCAUGCUACCAAAACCAUCUUGAGGACAGUCAGGAGGCUAAUAAUGAAGGGCUGGGGAAGGAGGCCAGUGCGACGAGGGUUAUCUCACAGCCUCAGAUGCCGGAUAAGUCGAAGGAAGCAGAAUCGCUUUUGGAUGACAUUCAGAAAGGCCGGAGUGAUGAUUUGGAAGAGAAAAGCCUGCCUAUUCUUUUCCAAGGUGCGUGAGUAUUCCCCUGGCCUGCCCGUCCGCUGAUGAGUUAUUAGCAGCCUGCCUUAGACAAAGGAUGCGCUGGGGCCCCACCACACCUAAAGCCACGCUUUGAAGGAUGUGCCAAGCUCACUUUUAAUCAUGAGAAAGAAAUUACCCACAUGGAGUCAGCAGAAAAUGAGAAAGUAGAGCUCGUGCUGCGAAUAAUUCCAGCAAGUGCCAAG